GGAGCUUGCUCCCUGAUGUUAGCGGCGGACGGGUGAGUAACACGUGGGUAACCUGCCUGUAAGACUGGGAUAACUCCGGGAAACCGGGGCUAAUACCGGAUGCUUGUUUGAACCGCAUGGUUCAAACAUAAAAGGUGGCUUCGGCUACCACUUACAGAUGGACCCGCGGCGCAUUAGCUAGUUGGUGAGGUAACGGCUCACCAAGGCGACGAUGCGUAGCCGACCUGAGAGGGUGAUCGGCCACACUGGGACUGAGACACGGCCCAGACUCCUACGGGAGGCAGCAGUAGGGAAUCUUCCGCAAUGGACGAAAGUCUGACGGAGCAACGCCGCGUGAGUGAUGAAGGUUUUCGGAUCGUAAAGCUCUGUUGUUAGGGAAGAACAAGUGCCGUUCAAAUAGGGCGGCACCUUGACGGUACCUAACCAGAAAGCCACGGCUAACUACGUGCCAGCAGCCGCGGUAAUACGUAGGUGGCAAGCGUUGUCCGGAAUUAUUGGGCGUAAAGGGCUCGCAGGCGGUUUCUUAAGUCUGAUGUGAA
rnacentral:rRNA from 1 species